rnacentral:rRNA from 1 species
GACGUAGGGGGCGAGCGUUGUCCGGAUUUAUUGGGCGUAAAGCGUGCGUAGGCGGCUGCGCAAGUCGGUUGUGAAACCCCGGGGCUCAACCCCGGAACUGCAUCCGAUACUGCGUGGCUAGAGGUAGGUAGGGGAGAUCGGAAUUCCUGGUGUAGCGGUGAAAUGCGCAGAUAUCAGGAGGAACACCAAUUGCGAAGGCAGCUCGCUGGGACGUUACUGACGCUGAGACGCGAAAGCGUGGGGAGCAAACAGG